AAUAGCUUGAAAUUAAACAAAUAUAAUUAUAAUACACACUUAUUUUUAACAAAUCUUUAUUAUUUAAAACAUUAAUUGUCAUAUAUACUUUAGCCACAUUAGGCAAUUUCGUAAUCUUAUUUAAGAAAAUAAUGAAACACAUUAAUAAUGUAUUUAUUGUGGUUUAAUAAAAAUCUUAUUAUAUACUUCCUCUGUUUCUGAAAGAAGGAUUUUCUAGAGUAUUCACGCAUAUUAAGGAAACAAUUAACUUUUUACAAUUGAAUUUAUUAUUUAUUUUAAUAUACAUUUUCCAAUAAAUAUCAAUCAAUAGUAUUCAACCAAUUCAAAUAUUUUUAAUUAAUGUUUCUUAAAAAUAUACAAUUUUUCAACAUUAACUACUAAAAGUACCUUAAAGUUUUAGAAAAUCUAUCAUUUUGGAACAAAAAAUAAAUCUAAAAAAUCCUAUUUUCAGGAACAGAGGGAGUAUUUAGAUGAACCAACAUAUUUCUCUAAGGAUUUUAAGAAUCAGUUUUGUGAUGACACGUGACUACAAAAAAAUGUUGCAAUAAUUGUUAAAUAAUAUACAGGGGAUUUAAACGGAAGUACUAAAGAUUAAGCUCUUAAAAAUUAUUUUCGAUAUCUUCACUCGUAGAUCAACAAAAGUCGAACGAGGAGAAGAUCCCACUAACUCCAAGGCGACGCAAAGGUGAAAAGCGUGGCGAUUUGACAAAUCGGUAAAGAUACAUUAAACUUUUAAUUGUCUUCGGUGUGAAGGAAAUAAUCAUCCGACGAAUAAAAGCGUAGAUAGGAAUAUUCUUACAAUGAUCCUACGUAGCAUCUAUAUCUACAGCAUGGGUGGCGCAUUCGUUACUCAACCCCAUCCACGGAUCAUUCCCCUACGGACAGGUCCACCACAGGUACACUCAUCACAGCCAAUAAGAAUCUCGUCUUUUUCAAAUCACAUUUUCCAGUUUCCUUUUAUAAAUGGUUUCGAAGAGUGUUAAUUUUCAUUGCCAUUAAAGGAAAUGUAACUUUAAUCAACAUAUCUUCCUAGAGAUUAAAAAAAAAAGGUUAAACCAUAAAUUAUAAAUUUGUUUUGAAUGUAGAUUGCAAUUAUUACGUGGUAAGUCCACUUUAUCCGCUUAUCAAAUUGUUUUGGAUAGCAAUUAUCCAAUUCUUAGCCAAAAAUAAGACGAUUAUCCAACUUUUACGAGACAAAAGGUCAAAACAUAUCAUCCCACAAGGCACACACCGACACCAAUUAAUAUUAGUAAAAUCGAAGAUUGUAUCUACGUGGGAACGCACGUGUAUAUUUGUGGGAUUAAUUUUAAUUUAGAAUAGUAAUCAUAAGAAAAUAAUUCAUCUCGAGGAACUUAAAAAAAAAAAACGUUUACACUGAGAGACACUUUGUGUCUUUUAUUAACGCGGAAAGACACUUUAUGGAUAUAAAACACAUUGUUGGACAGCUGUCUUUUUGGUGGACACAAAAGCCCUUUAAGGAACUAAACCAGAUAGCUCCUCAAUUGGAAUAAAUGAAAAAUGUACAAAAGUAAAAGUAGUUGUAUGGGUUUUAGAGUCUCUUUCCUGACCGUCGGAUCAUUUUUUAAAAGAAAAUCUAAUGGCUCAGAAGAGGCGUAUUGGUUUGGCUCGUAAUAAAUGUUGUUCUUUAAACGUAACUUGUCGUGGGUUUCGUUUUUCAACGAAGGUGAGAAAUAAGGCAAGAAGAGAUAUAAGAGAUAGGACUGAUUGUUUCAAAAGUCAUGGUUAGUUUGGUUAUGGAUGUCUUAUUUGUGGUUGUGGUGGUGUAUUCAAAAUAGCAUCCACAUGUAGAUUGGCUUGUGGCUAGAGAAGGUGUGACUACAUGGGUGUUGUGGUUGAAACCAUGAAGGUGGGUUGUGGUUAGAGAGGUUGUGGCUACAUGAGUGUUAUGGUUGAAACCAUGAAGUUGGGUUGUGGUUAGAGAGGUUGUGGUCAGAAGAGGCAUAUUGGUUUGGCUCAUAAUAGAUAUUUAUAAAUUGAAUAAAGAAGAAAAAAAUUUGUGAAUUGAUGAAUUAUGGAUCUGAUUCGUCAUUUAGUAAAAUUGCUCUAUAAAAUCAUUCAUCAUUCAUCAUUAUCAUGAAACAACGAUUAAGCUUUUCUGUGGACACAAUUCAGUGGUCGAACACACUUCUGUGGACACAAUUUAUGUGGACAUGAAAAUAUUACAAAAUUUUAUGUAGACACCGUAUCUACCACCACCUUCUCCUCCUCAUGUCUUCCACCUCAUAUUCACAUCAACCACCACAACAUCCACCAACACGGCAUCCACCACAACUUCCUCCUCCACACAUCUUCCACCUCCGUAUCCACAUCCACCACAACAGCAUCCACAACCACGGCAUCCACCACCACAUCCUCCUCCUCACGUCUUCCACCUCCGUAUCAACAUCCACCACCAUAGCAUCCACCAUCACGGCAUCCAUAAUCACCACCAGCUCUUCAUCCUCACGUCUUCCACCUCUGUAUCCACAUCCACCACAACGGCAUCCACCACCACCACCUCCUCUCGGACCUUUGAUGUCGAGAGACGGUCUCUGAGAAGAUGAUAACGCGAAACACGAAACACGAAUCCGACUACGGUGAAACAUAAAAAAGAGGAGCGUUUUGGAAAGUUAGAUUUGAGGCCAAUUUCAGAUUAUGAAAUUUGGAUCUACAAGAUGUCGCCGUAGAAAAUAAUUAGGAUUCAUCGGAUUUUGUAAAAAGGGGAAAAGAUAAGGUGAGAUUGGAGAGAGGUGUGUUCAACUGGUUUUAUAAAAAGUUUAAAAAUAAGGAGAGAUAAUCGAUUGGGUUGAAUU